CUGACCAUUGGAAAUCAGUUCUUUCCAAAUCGACGGCCGAAGCGGAGUAAUCAAGUAGAUCGGUGAAAAAAAGUGCAAAACUAACAACGUAAAAGCAAAGACAGUUGCCAAAAGAGUUAUUUAAAUUAAAAUGUGGUGAAAAGUAUUAGUAAAGUAAAGGCCUUGGCCAAGAACAGCCUUUUACUUAGUUGGCCCCACAACAGAGGCCAACAAAGCCAAGAUCAGUGCGUAAUUUGUAACGAGUUAAUAUUGUUUUCCUUUUCAUGGCAAAGACAAUGUUUAAAAGUGUGCUGUACCUUCGAUUAAGAAGGGUUUUAGUUUCGUGUUAUCCACAAAUUCACCGUUUGGAUCGAUCGGCAGCAACAACAAAUGUAAAUGGAUUGCUUGGAUUUAUGAAAAUGAGACUGGGCUUGCGUCACACAGGCACACAGACAGAGUCCGGAGAGGGGGAGAGGAGCAAAAAUAAAUAAAAGAGGGAAGCCAGGAAAAUCAGGAAAAGCAGCAGCAGCAGCAUCGCAGAGGCGGCGCAAAAAGUGUAGUCUGCUUCAAGGAGCAAUUAACGACAGUGGAUGGCACAGAGUUAUGUUAUAGCACUGCGUCCAUAUCACACUCAGCCAGUCCCAGUUCCAGUUCCAGUCCCAGCAAAGACCACAGCACCACCACCACCCACCCAUCCCACUCAACCCACGGAGGAAAUGUUCUUUAUACCCUAGAACAGGAGGGGGUAAACCAAUGAGGAGCUUAGGCCGAGUCUGGCAAAUAAUUGGAUACUCGUGGGAGGAUGAAUCCUUGCGCACAUAAAUACUCCGGCGAGUUGUCCUUUUCAAGUUCUUUGACUGGGCCACAUUAAAGCCCACUUUGAUGAGUGCAAUUCUGAUGAAGAGCUCCGCUUGAUAAAGAGCCUCCUUCCUACUCUCGGAAAUACACAUACUUGCAUUUGAAUUGGAAAUAGACAUGUAUGUCGGACUAGUCAUUGUUAUUUUAAUGGAGAGCGUAAUCCCUCUUCAUAUUGAACUGGUUGUAGAAUUAAGUGAAGGGUUUCGAACAUUAAUGGGGGUUCUGUAAAAGUGCAGGGAUUGUUUAGAGUCCUGAGAUAAUGAGGGGAAGUUACAGGGAAGUAUUAGAAGAAUUUUUAAAGAUAGGAAUUCAGAGAGAGAUCUAGCUUGUAGUUGGAUUAAAAUGCUUUCCUUCCGUAUUUUGUAAAUAUUUUAAGCUUAAACAUUCUUUCCAGAAGUAAGUACAAGAACUCCUUGUUCUUGAAAGUAUUUUCCAAUUAAAAGAUUUCCUUGCUGAUUGAAAAUUGAUUACAAACCAUGAUUGGCAAUAAAUAAAUGCAAGUUUAAAGU